UACGUAGGGGGCAAGCGUUAUCCGGAAUUACUGGGCGUAAAGGGUGCGUAGGUGGCCUGAUAAGUCAGGGGUCAAAGGCAACGGCUCAACCGUUGUAAGCCCUUGAAACUAUCGGGCUUGAGUUCAGGAGAGGAAAGCGGAAUUCCAAGUGUAGCGGUGAAAUGCGUAGAUAUUUGGAGGAACACCAGUGGCGAAGGCGGCUUUCUGGACUGAUACUGACACUGAGGCACGAAAGCGUGGGGAGCAAACAGG
rnacentral:rRNA from 1 species